AGAGUAAGCCUCUGGGCCUGUGAUCGGAAGGUUGCUGGUUUAUGCCCAGCCUCAGCAGAGUGAGCCUCUGGGACUGUAUUCAGAAGGUCGGCGGUUUAUGCCCAGCCUCAGCAGAGAAAGCCUCUGGGUCUGUGAUCGGAAGGUGGCCGGUUAAUGCAAAGCCUCAGCAGAGUAAGCCUCUGGGCCUGUGAUCGGAAGGUCGCUGCUUUAUGCCCAGCCUCAGCAGAGUGAGCCUCUGGGCCUGUGGUCAGAAGGUUGCUGGUUUAUGUCCAGCCUCCGCAGAGUGAGCCUCUGGGACUGUAUUCAGAAGGUCGCCGGUUUAUGCCCAGCCUCAGCAGAGUACGCCUCUGGGUCUGUGAUCGGAAGGUCGCCGGUUUAUGCCCAGCCUCAGCAGAGUAAGCCUCUAGGCCUGUGAUCAGAAGGUCGUCGGUUUAUGCCCAGCCUCAGCAGAGUAAGCCUCUGGGUCUGUGAUCAGAAGGUCGCCGGUUUAUGCCCAGCCUCAGCAGAGUAAGUCUCUGAGCCUAUGAUCGGAAGGUCGCUGAUUUACUCCCAGCCUCAGCAGUGUGAGCCUGUGGGCCUGUGAUCGGAAGGUCGCCGGAUAAUGCCCAGCCUUAGCAGAGUGAGCCUCUCGGCCUGUGAUCAG